UUUCCUCUGGCUCAGUUGGUAGAGCAUUACGCUAACAACGGUAAAGGUGUGGGUUCAAAUCCUAGAGAACUG